GAUGAACGCUGGCGGCGUGCUUAACACAUGCAAGUCGAACGAGAACCAACGGAACGAGGAUUCAUCCAAGGGAAGUUGGGGAAAGUGGCGGACGGGUGAGUAACGCGUGAGCAAUCUGCCUUGGAGUGGGGAAUAACGGCUGGAAACAGCCGCUAAUACCGCAUGAUACAGCUGAAUCGCAUGGUUCUGGCUGUCAAAGAUUUAUCGCUCUGAGAUGAGCUCGCGUCUGAUUAGCUAGUUGGCGGGGCAACGGCCCACCAAGGCGACGAUCAGUAGCCGGACUGAGAGGUUGGCCGGCCACAUUGGGACUGAGACACGGCCCAG
rnacentral:rRNA from 1 species